GCUGGGUGUGGUGAUGCACACAUGUAAUCCCAGUGACUUGGAAGCCUAAGGCAGGAGGAUCGUAAGUUUGAGGUGAGCCUCAGCAUCUUAGUGAGACCCUCAGCAAUGUAGUGAGACCUUGUCUCAG
rnacentral:sRNA from 1 species